AAUCUCUGUCUCUCCAACUCUCUGUGUGUGCCUCACUCUAUGUCUCUGUCUCUCUCUGUCGUCUUGUCUCUGCCACCUCGCUGUGCACUUCUGUCUCUCUCCUCUCUCCUUUCUCACUCUGUCUCUUUGGUCUCUGUGUGCGCCCCUCUCUAUCUCUCGUCUUGUAUCUGGCUCCCUCUGUGUGUGCUUCUGCCGUUCUCUCUCCCCUGUCUCUCCGUCUCUCCCUGUGAACCUCUCUCUGUCCCCUCUCCCCCGCCCCCCUGUGUCUCUCUUCCUCUCUAUCCGAGCCUCUCCACCCGCUCAGCAGGGAGCAUUGUGAGUUUUUUUGAACGAAGUUUAAAAAUCUCGAUUUAAACCCAACCCAUCCGCAAUCAGACUGCAUUUCUAAUCCUCUCUCUCUCUCUCACACACACACAAACACACACACAGAGUCUGUCUCUUUCUCCCUCUCAGUAAAUCCCCUUCCUCUCCUGUUCCUACUCACGCCUUUCCCUGGCUCUCCCUCGGCGACGAGUCCGCUGUCUGGAUCCCUUUUCCCAGGAGGGUUCUGAGGACCCAGCUGUUCGGCAGCGGGGAUCAUCGCACCACGCUCCAGGACCCCUACAACCUCAUGUUCUCCAGCGGCCUCCAGCGUGACCACCGGGCUGGGAGCAGGCAUCCGGGCUGCUGGAGCGCUCGCUGCUCAGUGGCUCGGCCCUGCGUCGGGAGCGGGGAUCCAAGGUGGGAGAAGGCCUCUUCACCCGGCGCCUGGGCACAGCUGCCUGGCACCGAGCCCGCGCUCCCCGAGCAUCCGGCCACGGGUCCGCGACGCCUUCCGUAGCUGAGCAGCCUACAACUAUGUCCUACUGCAAGACAACAUCAGGUGAAGAUGUGCGUGAUUUCAGCAAGGUGCUGAAAAAUAAGUUCAGAUCAAAGAAACACUUUGCCAAACAUCCUCGCUUGAGUUAUUUACUAGUACAAACAGUUCUAGAAGGCGAGAAGCUUGAGAGGACACAAUCAUCGCCUUGGAAGCUUCAUCACGAUACUACUUUGCAUUUCUGAAGAGGGAAGAAGAAUCAAUGUGCAAAUUCAAUUCCAUGGUUUUGGAAGUCCCAUUGAGAACACGAUUCAUUUGUGCCGGCAUAAUGCUCUGACCGAGAAAGAAUUGAAGGGAAAAAAGCCUUGAAAGUGCCGUUUUUUUUUGCAUGGCAAGCUGCUGAAUACGAACCAGUCUCACACCAUUGCCAUCACCUUGCCCUUGUGAAGGCAGAUAUGGAUAAAGUUUUUAAAGCUGAUAGAAAAUUGAAAGCACUCGCAUCCUGUGACAAUGAUUCUGAUGUCGGUAACUGGAAAGCCUCCAUUGUUGGAGGACGAGAAGCCAUAUCCAAUUGAAGCAGCAUAGGCUUCUGCGAUGACUGUGGAAACCACUGCUUAUGCCUUGCUUCAAGCGUUGUCAAGGAACGAUGUUGACUAUGCAACACCGAUUGCGAGGUGGCCAACGAUGCAACAGAACUAUGGUGGUGGAUUUCACUCGAUGCAGGACACAAUCAUUGCCUUGGAAGCUUCAUCAUGAUACGACAUUGCAUUUCUGAAGAGGGAAGAAGAAAUCAACAUGCAAAUUCAAUUCCAUGGUUUUGGACGUCCCAUUGAGAACACGAUUCAUGUGCGCCGGCAUAAUGCUCUGACCGAGAAAGAAUUGAAGUUUCCACUUGGAAGAAAGAUUCACAUCAAAUUGACUGGUCAAGGAAAUGGGACACUGACUUUGGUCGAAUGGAUCACAGAAAGUCUGGCAACAAAAAAGCUGCAAUGGUUACCUCCUCACUGCUUCCAACUCCUCCUCUUUCUCAGCUGGUGCCCGAUCACUGGCAGCGACAGCGUACCCUCAUGAUGCCAAGGUUGGAGACUAUCAAGAAUCAUGACGACACCGGCCCUUCUCUGUACUGCAGGACUGCCCCAGAGUGCUCCAGGCAGCAGAAACAACAUUGAACUACUCCAGUGGUCUGCACCAUUACAUUUCCUGUGGUACUUUAUGCAGCCCCUCUGAGUGUGUAAUACACACUCCCAUAUGGACCACGUCAUCAAACAAAGGCUCUUGUCACCUCCUCAUUACUUCAAGUUGUUCAAAUGAGGAUGGCAGGGCAGAAUAUUGAAGAAUUAUUACAAAGUCUUCUGUUCAGUAUCCUGCUGCUCUCUGACAAGGAAAACUGAAAUGUACUUGAUUUUCAUGUAAUUUUGAUUCCCAUUACAGGUCCUUAUGGGAACAGGAAAAAUGACAAGCUGGAAAAUUUUGCAAGUAAUCUUUGGGCCAGCCUGGAAUCUUCCCAUCCUCUGGCCAUGACCUUGUGACCCUGCUUGGAGGUUGUAGUUACAGUUUCAGAAGUGAUCAAUUCCAGUGAGGAUGUCUGUACUAAGGUGAAAGCUCACGCACAGUUCUUCACGACGGGAAAAAUGGCUCCAUUCAGACUCUGGAGAUUCAGGUAUCCCACUGAGAAUCGUUGUCUCCUUCAUCAUUCACCUUAUUCCAGUCACCUGUCCUGCUCUGUGUGAUUUCUGUCCAUUCUCUCAGUCAUGCUUGUCUGAGGGGAUAGCCACUACUGUAGCCCUGUUGUUGACUUGUGCAGUAUCCUCACAGUCAGGGAAUGCUUCCCCAUUCCUGAGAGAUUUCAGCUGGCUUAAACAGCUCUGAAAACCACGAAACACUUUUACAAGAGUCAGCGGAAAUCCACUUGCAUCUAACCUGUAAGUAGUUGGUGAUAUCUCUAUCCUCACUGCACUGGAUUAAGAGAGGAUUGUAACUGGAAUACUGAGGUCAAAACAUAUACCAUUAGCAUCCAAGCAGCAUUACGCAUACUUCCAUCAGAAUGUGAAUCAGAUGACAGGGAUUAUACCUAGCACUUGGAGAACUGACAGAAACCCCAGGUUACCGUGUCAGGAAAGUUCCAGUGAAUGAAGUGCCAACCGAGCACUUACCAUUCGGGGGCAGUCUGUGGCUAAAACCCCACUCACUGAGAGAUGCAGGCCAAACAGAGACUAGUGUCUCGCCAUUGCAGGUGGUGCCACCAGGAAGGGUGGCUGAUGCUGGUACUGCAAUUAAUCCAAUGCUAUUAGUGAGUCAUGAACAAAUUGGGGUCGUGGGAGAGGUUUUCUGGCCAGGGAA